GAUGAACGCUGGCGGCGUGCCUAAUACAUGCAAGUCGAGCGAAUGGAUUAAGAGCUUGCUCUUAUGAAGUUAGCGGCGGACGGGUGAGUAACACGUGGGUAACCUGCCCAUAAGACUGGGAUAACUCCGGGAAACCGGGGCUAAUACCGGAUAACAUUUUGAACCGCAUGGUUCGAAAUUGAAAGGCGGCUUCGGCUGUCACUUAGGGAUGGACCCGCGUCGCAUUAGCUAGUUGGUGAGGUAACGGCUCACCAAGGCAACGAUGCGUAGCCGACCUGAGAGGGUGAUCGGCCACACUGGGACUGAGACACGGCCCAGACUCCUACGGGAGGCAGCAGUAGGGAAUCUUCCGCAAUGGACGAAAGUCUGACGGAGCAACGCCGCGUGAGUGAUGAAGGCUUUCGGGUCGUAAAACUCUGUUGUUAGGGAAGAACAAGUGUUAGUUGAAUAAGCUGGCACCUUGACGGUACCUAACCAGAAAGCCACGGCUAACUACGUGCCAGCCGCCGCGGUAA
rnacentral:rRNA from 1 species